rnacentral:rRNA from 1 species
ACUCCUACGGGAGGCAGCAGUGGGGAAUUUUGGACAAUGGGCGAAAGCCUGAUCCAGCAAUGCCGCGUGAGUGAAGAAGGCCUUCGGGUUGUAAAGCUCUUUUGUCAGGGAAGAAACGGUGAAAGCUAAUAUCUUUUGCUAAUGACGGUACCUGAAGAAUAAGCACCGGCUAACUACGUGCCAGCAGCCGCGGUAAUACGUAGGGUGCAAGCGUUAAUCGGAAUUACUGGGCGUAAAGCGUGCGCAGGCGGUUUUGUAAGUCUGAUGUGAAAUCCCCGGGCUCAACCUGGGAAUUGCAUUGGAGACUGCAAGGCUAGAAUCUGGCAGAGGGGGGUAGAAUUCCACGUGUAGCAGUGAAAUGCGUAGAUAUGUGGAGGAACACCGAUGGCGAAGGCAGCCCCCUGGGUCAAGAUUGACGCUCAUGCACGAAAGCGUGGGGAGCAAACAGGAUUAGAUACCCUUGUAGUCCCAUGAU